GGUGGGGGCUGAGUUGUGCGCCGGGGACCGCGGGGGGCGGCGGGGGAGUGUUGUGGCUGCAGUGCGCAGAGUGGGUUUGCCCAUUCUUGUGCGAUCAGUGAGAUAAAACAGUGCUGUGGUGUUUAUCUAGUUCGAUAAUAAGCUGAGUAAUGAGUGAAUAAGUGAAUAACAAGUGAAAUACUGCAUUGUGGUCAUCGUCUGAUAACUGCAAUCAAGACCGAGUCUGAAAUCUGAAGCGGAGCGACAUUGGAGGAGCUGCUGGAAAUUAUCCAGCUUUGUCGGAGUGCUAAGCGAGUUGACGGCGGUGCCGCCCUGCUCCGUCGUGGCCCAGCUGUGAAAUCGAUGCCCAGCCGGCUCGGCCUGCCGCGCGUGCUCCUCCACGAGCUUCACAGCCCGAUCGAUGCGUUACGAGAUCGCCAGCUACUGAUCAGCAGCAACUGCUUUCCAUCGUGACACUGCUGGAAACUCAGUAAAUCCACCGAGGCUCUCCUCAGGUCACGGGCGGAUCGACUGUCGUCGGUCUCGACUACCUGAGACCGUCGGCGGCGUCGGCGGUCAGCGCGCGCAGCUGUGGCGGCCGACGCGCCGGCGCCGGCGGGCCGGCGAGGUCGACCCGAUGCGACAGUGUGACCUUGUACGAGUCACCGAAGACGGCGAGAGUUCGUAGCAAGAACAUGGGCUGAAGUAAAAACUUUAUCGAAAUAGAUAUUUUUGUAUACCUA